rnacentral:lncRNA from 1 species
CAGAGUGGAUUGAGAAUUUAUAUUUUUCUAGAAGCUUCCCCCUCCUACAGCCUGGCUUUUCUAUAAAGGCACCCUUUCAGAACUGCCCACCUCCAGGCUUGAAAACUCUGAAAUUCCCUUUUCCAACCACAACCUCCAGGCUCUCCGCUGGUGUCGUCCCUAGAAUGAGUGAUGUGGGCGCCCAGUCGUGCACGGAGCAGGAAGUGCACGUGUUCGGGGGGCGUGACAGGUCCCCAACUCUGAAGCAGCUGGGUGCUUGGAAGGCCACACUAUCCCCAAGGAGCAGGCCCAGCCAGGAGAAGGUAAGGGAUGGCGUGGAGCCCUCCAGAGCCUGCAGCGUGAGCACCAUCUGCAGCCCGUUGGACCUGGAGCCUUCAAGGCGGGACUGCGUCACCGGGGAGACUCAAGAGGAAUCGAUACUUCGGCCCCCAGUGACAUGUACACGGUGUAAUGACAGGAAAUGAGCAGGUUUGCACAGAAACUGCUGGCCU